rnacentral:lncRNA from 1 species
UCGUUUCUUACGCUUCAAGCGUCCUUCUCCUUCUUCUUCUGCUUUUUGUUCCUUUUUUGUAGCUUCUUCUCUACAAUUCUUCUUUGCUCCUCUUCUUCUUCUACGUGACUCAAAAUAAUAUAAAAUUCUAUAAUCAAACAAGGAUGAAUACUAGAGAAGAGGCAAGGGAGAAUAUGCAAACCACAGAAACGUAACUUACGGCUUUAAGGACGUAUCCAGUAGAGAUGAAAUCAAAAACAUCUUUGCCAAAUUCAUUAGUUUUUGAGAAUUUAACACCUAUAUGGUCAAUUAUGUUAACUACUUUGUAGCUUCUUCUCUGCGACUCUUCUUUUCUCCUCCUCUUCUUCUCCG